rnacentral:lncRNA from 1 species
CCUCGACCUCAUUUCAUGGAUCAGUGAACAAGGUUAAGUUUUGGUGGUCAAGUCCAUAUCUCAGAUACUAUAAGCAAUAGGGCUAGUAUAUUCGGUGUAUGGAAGGACUGUAAGGUGUACAUGUCCAACUGGCAGGUGUCAUCUGACCUUGACCUCAUUUUCAUGGUUCAGUGGUUAUAGUUAAAUUUUUGUGUUUUGGUCUGUUUUUCUCAUACUAUAUGCAAUAGGUCUACUAUAUUUGUUGUAUGGAAUGAUUGUAAAGUGUACAUGUCUAGCGGGCAGAUGUCAUGUGACCUUGACCUCAUUUUCAUGGUUCAGUGGUCAAAGUUAAGUUUUUGAGUUUUGGUCUUUUUAUCUAAUACUAUAUGCCAUAGGUCAACUAUAUUUGGUGUAUGGAAAUAUUUUAUGAUCUUUAUGUCAGUCGCGCAGGUUUUAUUUGACCGUGAC